UACGUAGGGUGCAAGCGUUGUCCGGAAUUAUUGGGCGUAAAGAGCUCGUAGGCGGUCUGUCGCGUCGGCUGUGAAAUCCCGAGGCUCAACCUCGGGUCUGCAGUCGAUACGGGCAAACUAGAGUAUUGCAGGGGAGACUGGAAUUCCUGGUGUAGCGGUGAAAUGCGCAGAUAUCAGGAGGAACACCAGUGGCGAAGGCGGUUAGCUGGGCAGUUGCUGACACUGGAUGCGCGACAGCGUGGGGAGCAAACAGGAU
rnacentral:rRNA from 1 species